UACGUAGGGGGCUAGCGUUGUCCGGAAUCAUUGGGCGUAAAGAGCGUGUAGGCGGUCCGGUAAGUCCGCUGUGAAAGUCGGGGGCUCAACCCUCGAAUGCCGGUGGAUACUGUCGGGCUAGAGUGCGGAAGAGGCGAGUGGAAUUCCUGGUGUAGCGGUGAAAUGCGCAGAUAUCAGGAGGAACACCUAUUGCGAAGGCAGCUCGCUGGGACGGUACUGACGCUGGAGGCGCGAAAGCGUGGGGAGCAAACAGG
rnacentral:rRNA from 1 species